GUGUGCCCAGCAGCGCGGGAACAUGUCUCUGGGAAUGGCCGUAACCCUGGGUCUGGAAGGCUUUGAGGGAGGUGUCCAUUCAGCCCGGGCUCUGAGAAGAAGAGUGUCAUUGGCGCCACCUGGCACCCAGCCACUGAACUUCAUAGCGCCUACGCCCCCAAAUCAAAGUGAAAGAUGUAGCCCACAGUGUUGCUCACGAUUUCAGAGGAGAAUUGAAAAUGAGGAGGAAUGGAAUAUUCACAAGUGUCUACUUGUCAACAAAGCGUGCCAGGAUGCUGUGAGAAUUAAAUUACAUAGUAGCUGCAAAAUAAUUUGGCUUUCUUGGAGUUGGACACCACCUGAACCUGAGUGAAAUGAUUGUGCACUUCUUAAUGGCCUCCAUCUCUGGCAAAGCUGCCUUGGGACCAGAACAAUUAUCUAAGUCCCAGUUUCCAGCCUAAAACAGCAUGAGGACAAGGCCAGGAGGCCACAGCAAGGCUGUAAUCAGAACCCACAAGGAUUGCAUGGAGAUGCUGCAGUGCCGCCACCACCCAACGGCCGGAGACCCCAGCAAAGCUGGAACAUGAAUGUGAUUGCUGGAACUGAAGCAGCCAUGUUGGACUCUGAGGUGAAAGCCUCAUGCGCAGGAGAGCAGGGCACAGACAAUAAGGAUCCUGAAAGCCCUGGCUCACGUCUUUCUGGACUUCUUUUAUGGUAGGAAGGGAUGAGAGUCUAACUUGUUUAAGCUGUUGUUAUGUUGGGUCUUUUAUCAUUUGCAACUAAACCAACUCUUACUAAUGCCUGUCCCUCCCUCUGCCCGUCCUUGGCCGUGCCUCCCACCUCACAGAACAUGAGCUCUGUAAAGUCAGGGUCCCACCUGCCUUGUUGACUGCUGUAGCCCCAGCACUAGAGCAACACCUGCAAUAAUAGUCAUUGGGUAAAUGCUUAUUCAAUAGAUAACUUGCUCAUCUCUCUUCAUAUUUAAUUUCUUCCCUCUACUGUCUCCUUUCCCUCUCAGCAUCAUGUUAUUUCAGUUCUCUUUUGACCUCCCUCAAAUCCUCUCUUGCUUAUGUGUCCCUGAAAAGUAGACAUUUCCCACAUUUGUGUCCUUGGCUGAAGUGGAAAGAACUAGGCAUUUCCAUGAUGAUGUCUACAUUCCUAAAAACCCUUCCAAGAGAAGCUGCCCUUACCACAGCCCACUUCCAGCCUUGUUUAGUUCCAUUUGCUCCUGUCCCACCCUGAUUGGAGGGGGGUAUCACAUGACCCAGCGAUGGCCGUGACAGCCAAUCAGUAGGCUUGUCAGGAGCCUAUGUCAUUGCCUGGUCUAGAAGAAUGAACUGCACCAAAGAGAUUCCCUCUAUCAGGAAUAUUUCCUUAUUUUGAUUUUAAGUUUAUUUUAUAUGAAAAAUACUCAUAAACACCUAAAAGAAAAAUCACUCCCCCAGUUAUACCAGUUUUUAAAAACAUACAUGGACAUGAAAUUCUUACCCCUUCCCCUUUCCAGGCCUAAGAAAUCUUGUCCCCUUGACAUAGCCUUAGAAGUUACUAUGUUAUUUUCCUGAUUUUAUUCUUUUAUGAAAGAGGCAUCUAAAUAUACACACGUGUUUACACACAUACCCCCCACAAACACACACUUAUCUUCUAUAUAUUGGUCUGCAGUGUAGAAUCUCUCUAGGCCCAGAACUGCAGCUCUACCAGGGACUGCUCCUAGGCUUUGAGCGAAUGUCUGCUGACAUACUCCAUAAUCUCCCCACUGAUGCAAUAUUCAGUACGUCGCGGCGAACAUUCUUAGAUAUGUAGAUUUACGAACUUGAAGACAGUUACUGAAAAGCAGGAUUGCUAAGUCAAAGUGUGCAUUUAAAAAAUUUUAAAUAAAUGUUACCAAAUU